AGAGUUUGAUCCUGGCUCAGGAUGAACGCUGGCGGCGUGCUUAACACAUGCAAGUCGAACGGAACUGUCAUUUUUGAAGCAAUUAGCUUGCUAAGGGUGGAAAUGUUGGCAGUUUAGUGGCGGACGGGUGAGUAACGCGUGGGUAACCUGCCUUACACAGGGGGAUAACACCUGGAAACAGGUGCUAAUACCGCAUAACAGGAAGAGGCGCAUGCCACUUUCUUGAAAACUCCGGUGGUGUAAGAUGGACCCGCGUCUGAUUAGCUGGUUGGCGGGGUAACGGCCCACCAAGGCGACGAUCAGUAGCCGGCCUGAGAGGGUGGACGGCCACAUUGGGACUGAGACACGGCCCAAACUCCUACGGGAGGCAGCAGUGGGGAAUAUUGGACAAUGGGGGGAACCCUGAUCCAGCGACGCCGCGUGAGUGAAGAAGUAUUUCGGUAUGUAAAGCUCUAUCAGCAGGGAAGAAAGAAAUGACGGUACCUGACUAAGAAGCCCCGGCUAACUACGUGCCAGCAGCCGCGGUAAUACGUAGGGGGCAAGCGUUAUCCGGAUUUACUGGGUGUAAAGGGAGCGUAGACGGUGAUGCAAGUCUGAAGUGAAAGGCGGGGGCUCAACCCCCGGACUGCUUUGGAAACUGUAUGACUGGAGUGCAGGAGAGGUAAGUGGAAUUCCUAGUGUAGCGGUGAAAUGCGUAGAUAUUAGGAGGAACACCAGUGGCGAAGGCGGCUUACUGGACUGUAACUGACGUUGAGGCUCGAAAGCGUGGGGAGCAAACAGGAUUAGAUACCCUGGUAGUCCACGCCGUAAACG
rnacentral:rRNA from 1 species